rnacentral:rRNA from 1 species
GAUGAACGCUAGCGAUAGGCUUAACACAUGCAAGUCGAGGGGUAACGUGUUGGAAGCUUGCUUCCGAUGACGACGACCGGCGGAUGGGUGCGUAACGCGUAUGCAACUUGCCUCACAGUGGAGAAUAACCCGGAGAAAUCCGGACUAAUACUCCAUACACUCUUAAGUACGCCUGUACUUGAGAGGAAAGAUUUAUCGCUGUGAGAUAGGCAUGCGUCCUAUUAGGUAGUUGGUGAGGUAACGGCUCACCAAGCCGACGAUAGGUAGGGGUGCUGAGAGGCAGAUCCCCCACAUUGGGACUGAGACACAGCCCAAACUCCUACGGGAGGCAGCAGUGAGGAAUAUUGGUCAAUGGAGGAAACUCUGAACCAGCCAAGUCGCGUGAAGGAAGAAUGUCCUAAGGAUUGUAAACUUCUUUAGCGAGCGAGUAAGGACUUCCACGUGAUGGGAGUUUGAAAGUAGCUCGAGAAUAAGUAUCGGCUAACUCCGUG